GUGCUCACUUUGGCAGCAUAUAUACUAAAACUGGAACCAUACAGAGAAGAUUAGCAUGGCUCCUGUGCAAGAAUGACAUACAAAUUCAUGAAGCUUUUAAUAUUUUU